GUAUGGAGAGUUUGAUCCUGGCUCAGGAUGAACGCUGGCGGCGUGCCUAACACAUGCAAGUCGAACGGUCCUUCGGGACAGUGGCGCACGGGUGAGUAACACGUAGCUAACCUGCCUUC
rnacentral:rRNA from 1 species